rnacentral:rRNA from 1 species
CCAAUAGCGUAUAUUAAAGUUGUUGCAGUUAAAAAGCUCGUAGUUGAAUUUCGAGAUCAAAUUGUCGGUCGUGCCUCGGUACGUACUGGCAUUAUUGAUUUCUCCUUUCUGAAGAACCAUGAUGUCAUUAAUUUGGUGUCUUGGGGAAUCAGGACUGUUACUUUGAAAAAAUUAGAGUGUUUAAAGCAGGCUCACGCUUG